rnacentral:misc_RNA from 1 species
CUGCGUUUAUGCGCGGCCGACCGUUGUGAAGUUGUCUUUUCACUCCUCCCGCCCGCUGCGUUGUUUUGCGGGGGAGGAACGCAUCGUCGGUUGUCUGUGCGGUUCUACCCACGUGGGGAAUAUCAUGAUGUUUCAUGAUGGAUUUUUGCUUGCCCCGUCGAUAUUUUUAUCGUCGGCGCAGUCGAUUGGUUGGCUAAAUUCUUGUGCCGCGGCGGGUCAAUGCCCCGAUACUCGGCGCUUGGAUUUUUCCGGCUCUCGCGGAUGCCGUGUCCAUCGAGGAAUCAGUUGGCCUCCGGUCCCUUGAUUUACCUCGGGGGGGUCCCUUGUACGGAUCGUUGCUCCGCCGCUCUGCCAUCUUGUCCGGUGUGAUGGGAUGUCGGAGCGGUGCGUGGUACCCGUGCAUGCGAGAUGUUCACCCGAUUGAAUGAGCGACUGCCGGUUCUCGUCGUCGUGCGAGUCGGACUCCUAUUCACUUAGGGUUCGCCGCAACGACGUGUCGGCUCUCGUUUAAGACGUGCUACCUGGUUGAUCCUGCCAG